rnacentral:rRNA from 1 species
UACAGAGGUCUCAAGCGUUUGUUCGGAUUCAUUUGGGCGUAAAGGGUGUGUAGGUGGCGCCGUAAGUCGGGUGUGAAAUUUCGGAGCUUAACUCCGAAACUGCAUUCGAUACUGCGGUGCUUGAGGACUGGAGAGGAGACUGGAAUUCAUGGUGUAGCAGUGAAAUGCGUAGAGAUCAUGAGGAAGACCAGUGGCGAAGGCGGGUCUCUGGAACAGU